GAUGAAGAACGUAGCGAAAUGCGAUAAGUAGUGUGAAUUGCAUAAUUUUGUGAAUCAUCGAAUCUUUGAACGCAAAUUGCACUCCCUGGUAUUCCGGGGAGUAUGCCUGUUUGAGGGUCGUUAGAAUAAAAAUCGAGGUGUCGCUCUUUUUUUAAGGGUGAUCGUGUCGGAAUUGAGCCGUCUUUUAAAUGUUAAUUCAUGUCAAAGUGGCUUAAAAUUUCAUCCAUCCGGUACGAUUAAAGCGUAUUUAAGAUCAAUUUUGAUUAAGAACGCGCGAUGACGUACCAUCUCAUGUAGUACGUUUGACCUGGCGUCGUCAGGAUCAUUCGUAUACGAUACUCAACUUUUGACCUCAAAUCAGGUAAGAAUACCCGCUGAACUUAAGCAUAUCAAUAAGCGGAGGA
rnacentral:misc_RNA from 1 species